GCCCAGACUCCUACGGGAGGCAGCAGUGGGGAAUAUUGCACAAUGGGGGAAACCCUGAUGCAGCGACGCCGCGUGAGUGAAGAAGUAUUUCGGUAUGUAAAGCUCUAUCAGCAGGAAAGAAAAUGACGGUACCUGACUAAGAAGCCCCGGCUAACUACGUGCCAGCAGCCGCGGUAAUACGUAGGGGGCAAGCGUUAUCCGGAUUUACUGGGUGUAAAGGGAGCGUAGACGGCUGUGCAAGCCAGAUGUGAAAGCCCGGGGCUCAACCCCGGGACUGCAUUUGGAACUGUGUGGCUGGAGUGUCGGAGAGGCAGGCGGAAUUCCUAGUGUAGCGGUGAAAUGCGUAGAUAUUAGGAGGAACACCAGUGGCGAAGGCGGCCUGCUGGACGAUGACUGACGUUGAGGCUCGAAAGCGUGGGGAGCAAACAGGAUUAGAUACCCGUGUAA
rnacentral:rRNA from 1 species